CAGGACAGUUUAUUCUUGAUCAGAAUGUGAUAUUCCUGGAGUAAUUAGGGUUACUAUGCAACUGGGGUUACAAAGUAAUCUGGACUGACAGCUUUGCUUGAGAAAAGAGCCCCUGGUCCAUUAUGGUGUUUGAGCAAUAAUAUGCCAAAACCAAAGUGAGAUUUCUCACAUUUGUUUAAAAUUCUGUAGUUAAAUCAGCUGAAUUGAUUUUAAGAUUUGGAUGAACAAAAUCUUCAAGUUUCUCAUCCAAAUGAAUAAGUGUUUAACAGCAAAGAUUUUUAAACUGCAUAUGCUCAAUAAAUUAGAUAUUAAUCUCUCAUGGAGUAAUAAAAUUAAUUAACUGAAACUACUAAGGAAAGCACAUGCUGUUCAUUCAUAUAACAUGCUACAGAAAUAUUUUGUUUGUGAUUUAGGGGGAUACAGCAAAGCUGAUACCUGUCUUUACACAGUUUGUGUGUUCACUAAAUGGGCUUUUAAAUUUGUAUUCCAUUUGCCUUUUUUUUUUUCUUCCCUGUUCUGAUAACAUUACACGGAAGUAUAAAUACAUAAACCAUUUGACACCAGAUCUGUAGCACCAAGACUGUAGCACCUUUAGGGUUUCACUUGCAACUUCUCCUCUGUGUAUAUAAAGGAGUUUUCUCUUAACAUUGGUCACUGUCAACCAAAUUCAAGGCUGGCAGAAAACCAUCAGUAGCUAAAAAUCUGUCCAGUGGCACCAGGUGAAUGGAAGAUAUGCAGGUCCAAGAGGGGGAAAAAAAUUAAGAUGCAACUACCUGGGUGCUUGAAAAUGCACAAAACGCUUUUUCCAGCAGAAACCUGACCUGGCUUGAAAAAUAGGACCUUAAGCUUCAAUCAAGUAGUAAGGGCUUACAUGCUUUAAAACUGUUGUUUCUCUACUUUCCUCAAACUACAAAAUUCAGUAAGAUGUAAAAUUUUCAGUUUAGAAAAUAAUGAAAUUGAGAUAAACCAGGGAAAACCUCAGGGAAAAGCAUAUGACUUAAGGCAACCCCAUGUGAGUUAGCUGUGAAGUGACUGUGGUCUUAACAGAAGAAAGGAGCUACAUGAAUUUGUUAAGAUUGAGCAGCACCUACCUAAAAUCCAGCUUAAAAUCCCAGAAAAUAAUAUGAUCUUACAAGUUAUUUCCUUGACAAGUUUGUGCAACAUUAUUAAAGGCAAGUAAAAUGACACCUUCACGUUUCAAGACAUAUUUUGCUAAAUACCUUCUCUGACCACAAAACCGGUGGAAGUUUCAGGCUCACAUUGACUAACUAUUGAGAUUCAAUAACCAGUUCUUGCAUCAUUUGAUAUAACUGGAUAUUCCAGAAGCGUUCAAGCAGAUUACAUUUUUGUUCCUUCACUAGCCUCUGUUCUUAAAUAUGCAUCUAUAUUCUAUGUAUAGGUCAUCACAAUGGUUAAUCAAUACCUUUGAAGUACCACAAAGUUCUCAAGUUUAUGUAAGAUGACUGCUUCAGCUUCAGUCUACAGAGUAUUUUAAACAGAAAAUGCUUGAAUCAUUUGUAUGCACCAUAUCCUCAGGGUUGUAAAUUCAGCAACCAUUAGGUAAACACCAAGAUCUAAAGCUGGAAUAAAGAACAUACCCUGCACCAGAGUCCACAGAGGAAAGAGCUCCUGUAGAGUCCUAGAAGGAAUGACGACACUCUGCCCCAGCUCCUGGACAGGUGUGCAGAGAGAAUCUAGAUACAGCCAUGUCUGUGUUCUGCUGAAUCUGAGUUUAAACAAGGUUUGAAAAGUGGUUUGGUAAGUAUUCUGUUUAAUGUUACUCUAGCUCUAAAAAAAAUAACUACCAUAAGUCAUGACCUUAUCAUCAAGAUUUAAACAUCAAAACAUCUGCACAGUCUUGAGAUGAACUGAAACAUUUUCUCAGAGCAGGUUACAGAUGCGAUCAACUUCUUAAAGCAUGGUGAGUUAAGUUUCAUUGUGGCCAUUUGUUCAGCACAGUGUGAGAGCGUAAGACCACCUAAGCACUGCAAGAUAAAUUAAAACUCAAAUGUGGAAAGGACUAUUGAAAGUUAUCUACAUUUACAGUUCAAUCACACAUUUUUAUUUAACAUCAGUAUACAGAGGACAACCCCAGCAAGUUAUUUUGUAAUGUCAAGUAUUUAGUAAAGUUCUUCAGCUGUAACAGUGACAAUAGAACAGCUAAAAAUAAGCAGUAUGAAACAAACAUGAUCUUCUUAAAAUUAUAAAUAUACCAACAAUACUUCUUAAAGCUUAAUUAUUGCAACAGUUAAAUUAACAAUAGUUCAUGUUAGAAAGGCUCUAUGAAAUUUAUUCAAGUUGUCAAGAAAUUAGAUGGAAGUGUAAAAAGGAAAUACAUAUGAAUUUUACUUUUGAUUUUCACUAAAGGUAGUCAAUACAAUUUUGUACAGUAUCACCUAACAUGUCAAUCUUUAACAAACUCCAGUAUACAGAAUCAUAAAAUGCAGAAAAAAUAGUUUAAUCUUUACAUGUAAAUUGACAGUAAAUUAACUGACACAAAUUUUAUUAUUGUAACAUAAGCAGGCCAGCAUUUUAAAUAUUAAUUUAGUAGUUUUAUGUUGUUAAAGGGGCAGACAAAUACAGUCAUUCCAAGUACAUACUCAGAUUUUAAGAGGUGAUAAUUCAGAACAUGGGUUUUCUAGAAAGUGUUUAGUAAAAGUCAUGUUAUUUCCUAAUCCAGACAUAUCCUCAUCAUAAAGCCUUUACAGGGUUAUGAUCUCUCCUGGCUUUACUGGAGCCACUUGUCACACCUCCUCACACACGCGCACACACACAUACCUUGCUAUAAAUAUCACACCAGUGUACUCUAGGUUUAAUUUACCCUGAUAAUGUGGGUAUGCCAUGUGCAACUUUGCUACUGUGCACAUUACAGAAAGCUUCAAAUUUUAGCAUGGUAACCUGAAGUCAUAUAGCUGUGUUUCAGUUUAACUAUAAUCAUCCCUGAAGUUUAUACAGAUACCGUAUCACGUCGAAAGAAAUCUAUUUGAUAGUACUUAAAUACCAGCAAUUGAACUUCAAUUGUAAUGAUGAAAUGCUCCUUUCCACUGAGGAAGAAUUAGUAUGUAUAGCUGCUCGUCUCACUCAAAUAUAGUACAUGAAUGUGUAAGUACUUUCACUAAAACAGAAGUCAUACUAAAACAUGAUACUGUACUACAAUUGUAGUUAACUAGAAAAUUCAAGGAUGUUAUAAUUUAAGUCUAACUUUUCCUGUACAAUAAAUCAAAUAAAUAAAUUUCAUGUGCAUUUGUUUUACAAA